rnacentral:rRNA from 1 species
CGGUGCCUACGGGAGGCAGCAGUGAGGAAUAUUGGUCAAUGGUCGGGAGACUGAACCAGCCAAGCCGCGUGAGGGAGGAAGGUACAGAGUAUCGUAAACCUCUUUUGUCAGGGAACAAAGACUGGGACGCGUCCCCGGAUGAGUGUACCUGAAGAAAAAGCAUCGGCUAACUCCGUGCCAGCAGCCGCGGUAAUACGGAGGAUGCGAGCGUUAUCCGGAUUUAUUGGGUUUAAAGGGUGCGCAGGCGGUCUGUUAAGUCAGCGGUCAAAGCCCGGGGCUCAACCCCGGCCCGCCGUUGAAACUGG